rnacentral:rRNA from 1 species
UACGAAGGGGGCUAGCGUUGUUCGGAAUUACUGGGCGUAAAGCGCGCGUAGGCGGUGAUCUUUGUCAGAGGUGAAAGCCCGGGGCUCAACUCCGGAAUUGCCUUUGAAACGGGAUUGCUUGAGUCCGAGAGAGGAUGGCGGAAUUCCUAGUGUAGAGGUGAAAUUCGUAGAUGUUAGGAAGAACACCGGUGGCGAAGGCGGCCAUCUGGCUCGGUACUGACGCUCAGGCGCGAAAGCGUGGGGAGCAAACAGG